rnacentral:rRNA from 1 species
AUUGAACGCUGGCGGCAUGCUUUACACAUGCAAGUCGAACGGUAACAGGCCUUCGGUUGCUGACGAGUGGCGAACGGGUGAGUAAUGCAUCGGAACGUACCCAGAGGUGGGGGAUAACGCAGCGAAAGCUGUGCUAAUACCGCAUGUGAUCUGAGGAUGAAAGCGGGGGACCGAGCAGCAAUGUUUGGCCUCGCGCCUUUGGAGCGGCAGAUGUCGGAUUAGCUAGUUGGUGGGGUAAAGGCCUACCAAGGCGACGAUCCGUAGCUGGUCUGAGAGGACGACCAGCCACACUGGGACUGAGACACGGCCCAGACUCCUACGGGAGGCAGCAGUGGGGAAUUUUGGACAAUGGGCGCAAGCCUGAUCCAGCAAUGCCGCGUGCGGGAAGAAGGCCUUCGGGUUGUAAACCGCUUUUGGCAGGAACGAAACGGUGUCCGCUAAUACCGGGCGCUAAUGACGGUACCUGCAGAAUAAGCACCGGCUAACUACGUG